AGUGGAUAUGAGAAGAAUUCUUCAUGCUUUAGAGUUGAGGCUGGUGAAGAAGGGCAGAAGGAUCUGCUGACUGGACUGACAUAUGGGACAGCAUGGGGUUUCCUGCAAUCUGAUCAGUUGUCUGCCUUUCCAUACUAUCUGAGAGGUCCCAAAGCCACUCCUGUUGCUGAUGCAAAAACUUCUUACGUCUUCUGCUGGCUUGCUAGGCUCAACCAGGACUGCAUUUUGCUCCAGGCUGAAUGUUUCUCCAACCUCCAGGCAGAUUUUGCCUGGUGACCUCCUAAAUUGUCUUGGACUGGAAAAUUGUUCAUAUCCUUUUUCUGGUUCCUCAGCUCCAGAAUUUAAUUUGAGGAUACAACUUCAAGUUUUCUGCUCUUGCUUCUGA
rnacentral:lncRNA from 1 species